rnacentral:rRNA from 1 species
GACGAACGCUGGCGGCGUGCCUAAUACAUGCAAGUAGAACGCACAGUUUAUACCGUAGCUUGCUACACCAUAGACUGUGAGUUGCGAACGGGUGAGUAACGCGUAGGUAACCUGCCUGGUAGCGGGGGAUAACUAUUGGAAACGAUAGCUAAUACCGCAUAAUAUUGAUUAUUGCAUGAUAAUUGAUUGAAAGAUGCUAUUGCAUCACUACCAGAUGGACCUGCGUCGUAUUAGCUAGUAGGUGAGGUAACGGCUCACCUAGGCGACGAUACAUAGCCGACCUGAGAGGGUGAUCGGCCACACUGGGACUGAGACACGGCCCAGACUCCUACGGGAGGCAGCAGUAGGGAAUCUUCGGCAAUGGACGAAAGUCUGACCGAGCAACGCCGCGUGAGUGAAGAAGGUUUUCGGAUCGUAAAGCUCUGUUGUAAGAGAAGAACGGGUGUGAGAGGGAAAGUUCACA